rnacentral:rRNA from 1 species
CCUACGGGAGGCAGCAGUGAGGAAUAUUGGACAAUGGGGGGAACCCUGAUCCAGCCAUGCCGCGUGUGUGAAGAAGGCCUUUUGGUUGUAAAGCACUUUAAGCGAGGAGGAGGCUACCUAGAUUAAUACUUUAGGAUAGUGGACGUUACUCGCAGAAUAAGCACCGGCUAACUCUGUGCCAGCAGCCGCGGUAAUACAGAGGGUGCGAGCGUUAAUCGGAUUUACUGGGCGUAAAGCGUGCGUAGGCGGCCAAUUAAGUCAAAUGUGAAACCCCCGAGCUUAACUCGGGAAUUGCAUUCGAUACUGGUUGGCUAGAGUAUGGGAGAGGAUGGUAGAAUUCCAGGUGUAGCGGUGAAAUGCGUAGAGAUCUGGAGGAAUACCGAUGGCGAAGGCAGCCAUCUGGCCUAAUACUGACGCUGACGUACGAAAGCAUGGGGAGCAAACAGGAUUAGAUACCCCCGUAGUC